GCACGAUCAAUUAUUAACUCAGUCUCCAGCCCCUCCCUUCUUCUCAGAGGAUGGGGGAUGGGGCCGAAAUCUCCAAGCUUCUAAACAUGGCUUGUUCUUUCUGAUGCCCAGCCCCCAUCUAGGAGCCCACCAAGAGGUGCCUCAUUAGAACAAAAUAUGUUCCUAUCGCCCAGGAAAUUAUAAGAGUUUUAGGAGCUCUGUAACAGGAACCAGGGGCAGAGACCAAAUAUACAUUUCCUAUCUUAUCAGUACUAUGGUUUGAAUGUGUCCCCUCCAAAAUUCAGGUGUUGCUAAUGGGAUGGUAUUAAGAGUUGGGUCUUUCAAAAUGUGAUUGGGCCACGAGGGCUCCUCCCUCAUGAAUGGGAUUAGGGCCCUUAUAAAGGAGCUUGACAGAGAGUUCACCCCUCUUGCCCUUCUGCCUUUGUCCAUGUGAGGGGACAGCCUUCCUUUCCUCCAGAGGACGCAGCAACAAGGCGCCAUCUUGGAAGUAGAGAGCAGCCCUCAGCAGACACUGAACCUGCCAAUGCCUUGACCUUGGAAUUCCCAGCCUCCAGAACUCAGAUGGACACAGAGCCCCUGCUCCAUGCCAGGCAUCGUUGAAGGCAUGAGGAUUCAGCAGCGAACAAACCUGUCCCUGCCCUCACAGAGGUGACAUUCGAGUUGGGGGAGUGAACCUGCAAACAAGUGAGCAAACUGAUGGAGAAGGCCCUGCCCUCCUCUGUUCAAAAUCGUGCAGCAGUGCGUCAUCCCACUCUGAGCAAGAGCCAAGUCUUCACACGGCCCAUGAGGCCUGCGUGAUGGCCCCAUCCCCAGCUCCACGCCCCCCAACCCAGCUCCCUGUCCCUCUGCUCCUCCUGGGCAUCCUGCUGUUCCUCAGUCAGGCCAGGCAACACAUGGGACAAAUGCCAUCCACAUCCGGACCACACCUAGGGCAGCCUGUGGACAGCCCCCAGAACUAUAGCUGAGGGUCCCACCCUUCCCACCCACGCACACUUUCUGAACACUCUGCUCCAGGCAAAGGGUACCUGAGUGCAGCAGCAGGGCCGUUGGAGCAGCUUUCUCAGGGCUGUCAGCAGUGACCCAGGGAGACCUCCCUCACAGCCUACUUCCUUGUUCCUGAGCAGAGCUAUCCAAUGGAAGUACCCAGAGCCCACACACUCCCUACAGAUUUUUAUGUUGGACAUAAAACAAUGAACAGAGACUAAUGUUGCCCUAGAUGUACCAAGCCUCCUAUAGAGAUUUGUACUGUUUCCUUUCUUGCCUUCUUCUUUCCCUCCUUCCCUCUCCCAGCCAAACAUGAAGCACCCACUAUAUGCAAACAUCAGGCUGGGGCCAGUAGGGGAAACCAUAUCUGUGAACAGGUAAUUCUCAUACGCAGCAGAAUAAGACAGGGGCUGAAUAUCGGGACACACAUCGUGCUCCCCUGUCCAGAGGCUGAUUCAUUCCAGCUGCUGAGAUCAGGGAAGGUUUCAUUCAGGCG
rnacentral:lncRNA from 1 species